rnacentral:rRNA from 1 species
CCUACGGGUGGCAGCAGUGAGGAAUAUUGGUCAAUGGACGAGAGUCUGAACCAGCCAAGUAGCGUGAAGGAUGACUGCCCUAUGGGUUGUAAACUUCUUUUAUAUGGGAAUAAAAUGUUCCACGUGUGGGAUUUUGUAUGUACCAUAUGAAUAAGGAUCGGCUAACUCCGUGCCAGCAGCCGCGGUCAUACGGAGGAUCCGAGCGUUAUCCGGAUUUAUUGGGUUUAAAGGGAGCGUAGGUGGAUUGUUAAGUCAGUUGUGAAAGUUUGCGGCUCAACCGUAAAAUUGCAGUUGACACUGGCAGUCUUGAGUACAGUAGAGGUGGGCGGAAUUCGUGGUGUAGCGGUGAAAUGCUUAGAUAUCACGAAGAACUCCGAUUGCGAAGGCAGUUCACUGGACUGCAACUGACACUGAGGCUCGACAGUGUGGGUAUCAAACAGGAUUAGAUACCCGUGUAGUC